GAAUUGCAGAAUUCAGUGAAUCAUCGAGUCUUUGAACGCACCUUGCACCCUUUGGUAUUCCGAAGGGUAUGCCUGUUUGAGUGUCAGUAAAUUCUCAACAACCCUUUCUUAAUUGCAAAGGGAGGUUGGAGGUGGAAGCUGCUGGAGCCUUUCUUGGUAUCAGCUCUUCUGAAAUACAUUAGCGGUUAACCGAGUACCUCGGCAAUGCCUCAAGCUGUGAUAAUUAUCCCAAGUUUGACGUGYUGAGAAUCAGUURUCGGGCUGGAGGCUUGUCUUGACAUGCCUUUGACUUCUCUAUCAACGAGAUAACUAUGCGACUCUGAUUGGGACGGGGUUGGGCUGAAGGGUUGUUUGUUACUUAACUAAANCUUACUCCCUUUGCCUUCUUUGUUGUUAAACAGACAGAGAUACAUAUCCAACUCACUGGUAUGGCUGCUUCUAACCGUCUUUGAAAAACAAGACAAGUCUUAUUGACCAUUGACCUCAAAUCAGG
rnacentral:rRNA from 1 species